GCUUCUGUCUUGAGUAGAGUUGGUGCCAGUGGCUGACAUCUGACAUCCAAAGCCCAAGGCGAUGGGCACGUGGUGGAAGGUGAUGACCUACUUAUGGCUGCAUCAGCAGGGAAGAGAAUGAACGCUAUAAGAGAAGUGGACCAUUCAUUGACAUCAGAGCCCAGAUAUGAUGGCAACUAGCUUUCAAGUAUGGGUUGUUUGUAUCCAGAGAGAGAAACUGCACCUUUCCUGAUGGGUGCUUAAAGCCAGACAGAAUUCAGAUGCCAACAGAAAGCUCCAGACUGCCACAGGAGGAGAAGAAAGGAAGACGAGAAGAAAGAAAAUGAGAUGGGAUUUUCCUUAUCUUCCGCUUGCUGUGGGAACUGCUGAGCACAUGCUGUAAGCUGGAGCAGCACGACACGACUCUGCUGUCAGCAGCAGGUUCAAUUAGGAAUGUUUUACAGCCCAAUGGCACGAGCAGGGCGACCUUGGUGGGAGCCAUUUAUGUUUUGAUGACCUGAUGUCAGUCAAACGGGAGUCAAAUUUAUCCCAGCCCACGUUAAUGACAUGAAAACUCAUGGUUGGCCCAGUGUGGCCAAUGACUGGCAAUGGCAGACCCACACCUCUGGCAGAGGUUUGUCCCACCUGUGCUGGCUGCCUCCCAAUGCAAAGUUCUUGGCUUAGCCUGCAGGAAGUUAAAGCUCCCAGCCUCCUGCAAUCACAGCAACAGAUAUACACUAAUUUCUGUUCUUGAAAGAUAUAUUUUUCAUAAAUUUCACUUUCAGUGUUUGCAGUGUGGGCUCUUUCCCAAACAAAGCAGCCAGCGACUGAGCCUGGGUUUAUUGCCUCCACAAUCCAAAUUGCAGCUAUUAUCGCUAUCUACAACCUGCAAUUAUCCUCAGCUUGCAUAUUUCAUUUCUUUAUCAACACAUACUUUGCGCUGAUGAGAGGUGAUAGACUGGCAGCUCGGGAAGCCACGGCUGCUCUCCUACCAGCAGCUGCAAAGGCAGAGAGCAGCCCCUCACUCACUGCAGCAGCUGUGUGAUUGCUGCAGCAUUCAGGGACACAGAGCAUCUCAUGGUGGUGAGGGGAGUUCUGAUGCAUCUCAGGCCUCCCUGCUUUCCUCUGCCUUACUCUGUGCAGAAUGAAGGAGCCCACCAUUUCAUGCAUUUUUCAUGGCCCUGCGGUGUUAUCCAUCCCUUGUGCUGCCUCAGCAGUUUUUGUUUCCUCUGCCAUGAUAGGGAUUGAUUUACCCAUCCCUAAAGAUCUUCAGGCUGCCAGGCUGGAGGGUUCUACCAUGCUGGGGCUGCUGUGCAGCUGCGUUUCCUGGGAUACUCCUAUUUCAUCCAGCAAUCCUGUCUGGGUGAAGUAGAAGUAGGACUUAAUAAUAACAACUUUGGUCACCGGGCAAGUUUGUAGAUUGAAAUGGCAAUGAGAUCUGGCUACCAGAUGCCUUUGGGAGGCUCAGUGACUGCUCAACGGGGAACCAAGCUGAAAUGUUUGGCUCUAUUCUUCAUUUCAAAGUAACUGCGUUGCAGAAUGUCAUUCUGUUGAAAAUCAACAAAUCCACAGUCUCAAGAAGGGCUGCAGGGGAGACCCCAGAGUGCUUCCUUUCCUUCGUGCUGUGCCCACCAUGUGGAAUACAGAGCCAAUUUAGAUGGCAAUAUGCGCUUGAAGCACCAGCAGUAAAGAAAAACACACCUGGUCUAAUUGAUAGUUUUCCUCAUGUGAAGGGGAGGCCAUGUGCUGUUGAUGGUAUACACACCUUUUUGCCCUGCCAAGAUUUGCUAUUUUAUCAGGAGGUGGAGUCUGACAAACAGCAGUGCUUCAUUUGUUAUCACAAUCACAAAGUCCGUGUUAAUGACCACUGAUAAUGCUGCAAUGCACUCUUGUUUCUGCAGAAGUUCUUUGGUCUUUCCCAAUAUCUUCAUCUUCCUUGGGCAGAAG
rnacentral:lncRNA from 7 species